rnacentral:rRNA from 1 species
ACGGGGUGCAGCAGGCGCGAAACCUCCUCAAUGCACUGAAGUGUGAAGGGGUUACCUCGAGUGCCGCCUGAAGAAGGCGGCUUUUCCUUGGUCUAAAAAGCCUUGGGAAUCAGAGGGGGGCAAGACUGGUGUCAGCCGCCGCGGUAACACCAGCCCCUCGAGUGGUGGGGAUGAUUAUUUGGCCUAAAGCGUCCGUAGCCGGCCGAGUAAGUUUCCCGUUAAAUCCAGCGUCUCAAGCGUUGGGCUGCGGGAAAUACUGCCCGGCUAGAGAGUGGGAGAGGAAAGCGGUAUUCUGGGGGUAGGGGCGAAAUCCUUUGAUCCCCGGAGGACCACCAGUGGCGAAGGCUGCUUUCUAGAACACGUCUGACGGUCAGGGACGAAAGCUGGGGUAGCGAACCGGAUUAGAUACCCGGGUAGUCCCAGCUGUAAACGAUGCACGCUAGGUGUUGGGUCGGCCACGCGCCGCCCCAGUGCCGCAGGGAAGCCGUUAAGCGUGCCGCCUGGGGAGUACGGCCGCAAGGCUGAAACUUAAAGGAAUUGGCGGGGGAGCAC